UGGGGAAUAUUGGACAAUGGGCGGAAGCCUGAUCCAGCAACGCCGCGUGAGGGAUGACGGCCUUCGGGUUGUAAACCUCUUUCACCAUUGACGAAGCUGCAUCUUUUUGGGUGUGGUGACGGUAGGUGGGGAAGAAGCACCGGCCAACUACGUGCCAGCAGCCGCGGUAAUACGUAGGGUGCGAGCGUUGUCCGGAAUUAUUGGGCGUAAAGGGCUCGUAGGCGGUUUGUCGCGUCGGGAGUGAAAACCUUGGGCUUAACUCAGGGCUUGCUUUCGAUACGGGCAGACUAGAGGUAUGCAGGGGAGAACGGAAUUCCUGGUGUAGCGGUGAAAUGCGCAGAUAUCAGGAGGAACACCGGUGGCGAAGGCGGUUCUCUGGGCAUGAUCUGACGCUGAGGAGCGAAAGUGUGGGGAGCGAACA
rnacentral:rRNA from 1 species